CGCUCGGUAAAGGUCGCGUUAACGGCAAC
rnacentral:sRNA from 1 species